rnacentral:rRNA from 1 species
GUUGAACGCUGGCGGCAUGCUUUACACAUGCAAGUCGAACGGCAGCGCGGGCUUCGGCCUGGCGGCGAGUGGCGAACGGGUGAGUAAUACAUCGGAACGUGCCCAGUAGUGGGGGAUAGCUCGGCGAAAGCCGGAUUAAUACCGCAUACGACCUGAGGGUGAAAGCGGGGGAUCUUCGGACCUCGCGCUAUUGGAGCGGCCGAUGGCAGAUUAGCUAGUUGGUGGGGUAAAGGCCUACCAAGGCGACGAUCUGUAGCUGGUCUGAGAGGACGACCAGCCACACUGGGACUGAGACACGGCCCAGGCUCCUACGGGAGGCAGCAGUGGGGAAUUUUGGACAAUGGGCGAAAGCCUGAUCCAGCAAUGCCGCGUGUGUGAUGAAGGCCUUCGGGUUGUAAAGCACUUUUGGCGGGAACGAAAAGGACUGUGCCAAUACCACGGUUCGAUGACGGUACCCGCAGAAUAAGCACCGGCUAACUACGUG